ACGAAGUGGUUGAUGCCAUGCUUCCAAGAAAAGCUUCUAAGCUUCAGGUAACCAGGAACCGUACCCCAAACCGACACAGGUGGUUGGGUAGAGAAUACCAAGGCGCUUGAGAGAACUCGGGUGAAGGAACUAGGCAAAAUGGCACCGUAACUUCGGGAGAAGGUGCGCCGGUGAGGGUGAAGCAUUUACUGCGUAAGCCCAUGCCGGUCGAAGAUACCAGGCCGCUGCGACUGUUUAUUAAAAACACAGCACUCUGCAAACACGAAAGUGGACGUAUAGGGUGUGACGCCUGCCCGGUGCCGGAAGGUUAAUUGAUGGGGUUAGCUAACGCGAAGCUCUUGAUCGAAGCCCCGGUAAACGGCGGCCGUAACUAUAACGGUCCUAAGGUAGCGAAAUUCCUUGUCGGGUAAGUUCCGACCUGCACGAAUGGCGUAACGAUGGCGGCGCUGUCUCCACCCGAGACUCAGUGAAAUUGAAAUCGCUGUGAAGAUGCAGUGUAUCCGCGGCUAGACGGAAAGACCCCGUGAACCUUUACUAUAGCUUUGCACUGGACUUUGAAUUUGCUUGUGUAGGAUAGGUGGGAGGCUUUGAAGCGUGGACGCCAGUUCGCGUGGAGCCAACCUUGAAAUACCACCCUGGCAACUUUGAGGUUCUAACUCAGGUCCGUUAUCCGGAUCGAGGACAGUGUAUGGUGGGUAGUUUGACUGGGGCGGUCUCCUCCUAAAGAGUAACGGAGGAGUACGAAGGUGCGCUCAGACCGGUCGGAAAUCGGUCGUAGAGUAUAAAGGCAAAAGCGCGCUUGACUGCGAGACAGACACGUCGAGCAGGUACGAAAGUAGGUCUUAGUGAUCCGGUGGUUCUGUAUGGAAGGGCCAUCGCUCAACGGAUAAAAGGUACUCCGGGGAUAACAGGCUGAUACCGCCCAAGAGUUCAUAUCGACGGCGGUGUUUGGCACCUCGAUGUCGGCUCAUCACAUCCUGGGGCUGAAGCCGGUCCCAAGGGUAUGGCUGUUCGCCAUUUAAAGUGGUACGCGAGCUGGGUUUAGAACGUCGUGAGACAGUUCGGUCCCUAUCUGCCGUGGACGUUUGAGAUUUGAGAGGGGCUGCUCCUAGUACGAGAGGACCGGAGUGGACGAACCUCUGGUGUUCCGGUUGUCACGCCAGUGGCAUUGCCGGGUAGCUAUGUUCGGAAUAGAUAACCGCUGAAAGCAUCUAAGCGGGAAACUAGCCUCAAGAUGAGAUCUCACUGGGACCUUGAGUCCCCUGAAGGGCCGUCGAAGACUACGACGUUGAUAGGUUGGGUGUGUAAGCGCUGUGAGGCGUUGAGCUAACCAAUACUAAUUGCCCGUGAGGCUUGACCAUAUAACACCCAAGCAAUU
rnacentral:rRNA from 1 species